UCCGAGUUAACCCCGGCAGUCUCCCUAGAGUUCCCAUCCGAAAUGCUGGCAACUAGGGACAAGGGUUGCGCUCGUUGCGGGACUUAACCCAACAUCUCACGACACGAGCUGACGACAGCCAUGCAGCACCUGUAUCUCGGUUCCCGAAGGCACCAAUCCAUCUCUGGAGGAUUCCAUCAAUGUCAAGGGCAGGUAAGGUUCUUCGCGUUGCAUCGAAUUAAACCACAUGCUCCACCGCUUGUGCGGGUCCCCGUCAAUUCCUUUGAGUUUUAACCUUGCGGCCGUACUCCCCAGGCGGAGAACUUAUCGCGUUAGCUGCGCCACUAAGGGUUUCAAAUACCCCCAACGGCUAGUUCUCAUCGUUUAGGGCGUGGACUAC
rnacentral:misc_RNA from 1 species